AGUUAAUGAACUUGAUAAGUAUAUGUUUUGAAAACAUAAAAUAUAAGUUUACUCUUAUAUUAACUA
rnacentral:tRNA from 1 species